AUUUCAGUAACCCACAACGUACAAGAAGGCGACGCGGCGGCUGGACGGCGCGGCGUUUGACCUCGUAUUUGCACAUCUGGCCUACCAAAAGCCCGAUUUGUCCCAUUUGGAGGAACCCGAAAGCGCUGGUAUUUACCCCAAGGGUGAAUCACCUGAAAAGGAAUGAAUUGAGAGGAUUGAGGAAACUCAGGGUUUAACGGGAUCGGCUCCAAGGGUGCGAAAGGCGAACAGGUGCGAGCGGCGGAACCCCGCGGGCCCCUCGACUUGCGGACGGUAGAAGAGAAGAAGUCGGUCACAACCAUGGUUGAUGUUGUCGAAAAGCGUCUCCGAGCGGCUAGAGUUGCAGGUCAAAGAGAUCGUCAUGGGUGAUUAGAAAUGUAGGGAAUUAACAGUAUGUGAAGGUGCAGAACCUUUUAAAG
rnacentral:lncRNA from 1 species